rnacentral:lncRNA from 1 species
UUAUUUCCAAACAACGAACGCUUAAAUUAGAGCAAAUAUCAACAUUUAUUAUACGUGAUUUCCCUUAAGUUCCUUCUCUUACCGUAGCUACACAACCCCACCAUUUUUUAAAUAUCAACAUUUAUUAUACGUGAUUUCCCUUAAGUUCCUUCUCUUACCGUAGCUACACAACCCCACCAUUUUUCCUCUGGUUUGAUGCAUUUUUUGCUGCAUUUUUCUUCUAAGAUAUUUUCCACAAUUAUCUAAUGUCAUUGCUUUCUCCGUAGGUACGGGUUCGAAAGUACCCGCGGGUAUCAUUGCUGGAGUAGUAAUUGCUGGAAUCCUCGCAAUAGCUGGUUUGGCUAUAGCUCUUAUUUUCUGUUGUCGCAAAAAGACGUUGGAGAGAGACUCAAGAGCAUCUGGUGUAAGGCAGGAGAGAGCAGUACGAAUGAGUUCUCUUCCUGAUCAAGAUGAACAUUACGCAAGUAUUCAACACCAGCAGGAGCGAAAAGGGGCCACUGCUCAGCCAAUACCUCAGUAUGCACAAGUGGACAAGAGCAAAAAGAAAAAACAUAAGAAUCCUGAUGAAAUUGUCUAUGCUGACCUUGCCCUUGACCUUGACCAGCCCGACAUUGCUGGCAGUAGGCAGCAUCAACCAGAACCACAGUAUGGCAACCUUCAGGGAAGGGAUGUAAGCAUUUGAAGCAACAUAUCCGUAUAUGGCCCAUCAACGACAAAGGGCCAAUCAACAGCUUAAGAGUUAAGAUUUUUUUAAAUUUUUUUGAAGCAGGGGGUUGGUGACAAAGUGAAAGAAGGGGGCGUCCAAAAUAACAAAAAAUAGGUACAAUGCAGAACAAGCACUACACUACCCAACUGUCUACUACACUACCCAACCCCUUACUACAUUACCCAACCGUCUACUACACUACUCAACCAUCUACUACACUACCCAACCCUCUACUACACUGCCCAACCCUCUUCUACACUAACUAACCGUCUACUACUUUACCCAACCCUCUUCUACACUAACUAACCGUCUACUACACUUCCCAACCCUUUACUACACUACCCUAUUAAGUUCAAAUGGCAUUUUGAUCUUCUUGGAGAUUCUCGGGACUAAUGAGUUAUUUUUAAUAGAAGAUAAUUCUGAAGUAUGUUUCUGCACUUUAGUCCGAAGGAACGAAUGAUAGUUUAUAUCUUCUAUAUAGAUGUAUACAAUCAUAAUAUCGGUUCCAACAGAAUCACUGAUAGGAAUUAUGUUAUUAUUGUCGAUUAUCUUAACAUUUGGGCUUUUAUUCUUGGUUUCUUUGCUAAAGAACCAAUAAUUUCCGCAUUAUAGCUAAAGAAUUUGUUUCCUGUUGACAACUCCCUAAAACAGGGACGUUAUUCUGCUACAGGGACUAUAAUUUACUUCCGCCUUGCUAAUACCAAAUAUAGUCCCUUAGGUGCGUCAUUUGGUUGGCUCCAUAAACGAGUGUCAUGCUGAUGACUGCUUGGAUAAUGUACAUAACGUAUGAGCUCUUUCAGCUGCCCGCUCUAUCGAUCAAGGUGUUUACUUGCUGGAACAUAUUAUAACACAGCAACCAACACCCUUUUUUUAUUCUAAUAAGACAGGCCAGAAAGGAAGCGAUGGAUAUUUCAGUCUAUUUGUAUAACAAACAUAUGAUUUUGCCAAUGCUGCAUAAUUAAUACUUGCUAUCACAAAUUCCAAUUUUUUCCUAAAAAUAGAUGCGUGUCAUCGUUAGGUGGAAGUAAAUAUCUCUAAUUUCAAAUAUUCCUGGUUUAGUUUCGAUCCUAUUUAAUCCAAACUACACAUAUAAAGCUGUUUUGAUAGAGAAUCCUUGGCGUUCUUGGAAUAUUAGUCUUAUCGGUAAGGUUAUUUUUUGUUCUGAAAAAUGACCUUGUUAAUAUUAGCGGUCUGUGUUUUAUGCAAAUUCGUAACGAGUAUUUGGUUUGAAAUGUAAACACAAGCCAUUGUCACUAAUUUCGAGUUUAUAUGUCGUACGAAAUAUUAAAACUUACAUUAAUCUGCUAAAAAAGAUUAUUUGAAUUCCAAAGUGAAGGAAUUCAAUCGAUUUUGUAGCAUAUUUUCUACUGCAUCGAAUGACAUGUCAGCGUCGUAGCAGUCAAAAUAACCCCUCCGUGUCACCGCAUGACAGUUCUUAGAACUAUAAUAUUAAACAUGUUUCUGUUUGCCUUCCUGCACGUGCAUAUUUCUCGCAAAAUAGCACCCCAAAAUACUAAUUUUGUUGUUUGACUAUCGUACUUAAUGGGAUAUUCAUUUCUUUUAAUAAGAAAACUGCAAAAGAAUUCAGUUUUUGGAUUCACUUCCGCUUUGAAUAUUACAAACUUUGUACUUGUUGACAGAAGUAACUUGACAGAACAAAAGAGGCGAGGUUAGGGUUCAUUACUCCCUCGAGUUAGAAAAUGAAAAGGCUUUUGUAAAUGAAAACAUUCUAGAAGGAUAGCACGCUAGGAUUGAAUAUUAAAUUGCUUCUGGUAUCGCGUGGUUGUCUUUUCCCAUACCUUCGAAUUGAAUUGUUUAGAUAACAUGAAUGGUUUACUUACUUCCUCGUGCUCCAGCACGCUCAAUUUGAAUUCUACAUUCAGCACUUGAUUAAAGGAUUUCACAAGUAUUUGCUAUACGAUUUGUGAUUCCAAUAUGAAGAUUUUUCGUUAUAACAAUAUGUUGCUAAAAAUAAAUAUUAAUUUUGUAUUACAAAAUAUUUUGUAAUUAGNCUAACUUUGAAUUUGGAUAUAUAUUUUGACUAUAUAAGAUUUGUUAGUGUUGUUUGUGCAUCCAAUAAAUUGGUAGUAAAUUUAAGAUAGGGAUUUAGUAAUAGUUAACUUUAGGAGGAUAAGAGAUUUUCACUUAAAAUCCAGUCUAACUCAAAAUGCCGUAGAAAUAUAUUAGACGUUUGUAUACACUUUUUCAUAUUGAGAAAUAAAUUGUGAAGAAUAAUGAGCUAA